CUCUGCGACAGCGAGCAUCGAGAAGGAAACACCCGAGGAGACACACAACCUUUCUGUCUGUGUACAACCGUAGCAGCUAACCAGGGAAAUAAUCCCUUAUAAACAGCAUAAUGUAAGGUUUAAAUGUUUGCAUAUAAAAACGCCAUGAUCGCACCGGAAGCAGACGACGUUAUAUGCAGUUUGGUACAAAAUGAGCAGCAACAGUAAACGAGAGAGGGAGCAGAGGAGGAAGCUGCAGCACUUUCUGAAUGACCUGGCCUUACUCGGGUCUUUACAGGGAUUUAAAUACUUCCAGCCUUGGCUCAGAGGGAAAGAGGAGCUGCUGCUGACCGUCGUUAACGAGGAUCUGGGUUUUCGCUCUCCAGGCUUCGUGGUCUCCAGAGCCUCCUCCCUCUCCUCCAUCAGCAGCUGUAACAGCAGCGAUGUCUCCCCCAGCAGCAGCUCCCCCAGCCUGGGCAGUCGAGGCAGCUCUCCCCUGCCUGGAGAGGAACCUCCGGGCCCCCGAGAGCCUCCGCCACACACACACACCAAGACGCAGCCACACACUGUCAGGGAGGCUUGCAGUGAGGAGCAUCUCCUCCCAGCCUCCCCCAGUGAGAGAGAGAUAGCGGUUCCUGAGGUGAACUGCACUCUGUUCCUACUGGCCGGCUACGUGAAGUACGGACGGCCCUACGCCUGGAUCCGCUCCAAUCACGAGCGCCUGGUUAACAUCGGGGGCACCGACUCCAUGGUCAAAGACACGCCCAUGAAACUCAAGUCCAUCUCAGACUGGCAGACGCGAGGUAUGGAAACAAUGUAUUCGCGUGUGGGAUGUCAUCAGCGAGCUUGUGUGUCUGUGCACCGUCCCCUCUCCCUCCAACCCCUUCGCUCUGGACAUGCGCUACAUCCAAAACCUUCCCUUCCCCGACCGCUUCCUGGUCACAGGCGCUCUCCUUAACUUCCUGGAUACGUAUGUGGUUUACGGUAACCGGGACGAGUUGCACUAUGACAAAGUGGUGGAAGAGGUGAAGCCUUUGAGGCGUCUUCACGUCCAAUCCCUGCUGGAGUUACAGCGACAAAGGGAGGGCUCUUCUGGAGAGGAGUGACUUUAAUCUUAAGCCAUUCUUUCAACAUCCUAGCUCCUCAGAAGUGACUUGCAGAUAAAACCACCAACUGUUCCAAGGUGGUGACCAUUGUUAAGCGACCCCUUGAGCAGGAAACAGCUUUGCAUUCUCUCCCCCCCCUCCCCCCCCAACCAAAAUAUUUCUCCUAUAAACAAUGGCAUGCUUUUGUGAGUAUGUCACAUCGCAAAAAGGGACGCAAGUUGACCUAAAGUCUCGCCCAGACCCAGGGCAUGCACACAGCUACACCUGUGGGCUGUACACAACUUUCACCUGGAAACUCACAGACAGAUAGCUGGCUGUUUUGCAUUUACGCAAGACUGCUUUACAACGACAACACCGGUGUAUCCUGUGCUCAAUAACCAAAAGAGUACAAGAUAAAGUUACAAACACGUCAUGUGCCUGAAAAUACUUGUCUACAUGAUCUGAAUGAACAACUUUACUUCAAUCUGACGUGCAAAGAGCUGUCACAUCCGCAGUCCAUCCUGUGGGUGAAUAUGUAUUCAUUUAUUCUGUAGCCAAAACUCAUGUAGAGAUUCUUGCUCCAAACUAUAUUCUAAAUAAUGUAUACAAUAAUAUAUCUCCAUAAAGAGGUCAUUUUAAGGAUACAUUUGUUGUGUAAUCUUGCAUCAACACACAAGAUAGAAUUUAUGUAUGUAUUGCAUUCACACUACUUUUCCAUGCUACACUUAUUAUUAUUUAUUUUUUAAAUACUGUUACUCUACCUAUUGUUGUCCACCUUUGUAAAUUGUAAUUUCCAUCUCUAAUGUUUUAUGCAUGCUUAUAUUAAAUGUUUUGCCUCCUUACUUUUGCUGUGAGAGUGUAAAUGUCCCCACUGUGGGACUUAUAAAGGUAUUGAGAUUGAGAUUAUUUAGAUGAAACAAAGCAACAAACAAGGAAUUAAGGUAAACCCAAUCCAAAAUAUAUAAAUACUGAUUGAGCAAUGGCAAAUUAUUUCUCCAAACUUUUUUUUCUGGUCAUUUUCUCCUUCUUUGUAUGCCGAAUUAACCAAAAGAGCCUACUGAUUACCUACAUCUAAUAAACAAGAUAUACUGUGCUGUAUAGUUGCAGAAAUAGGCGAGAUAACUUUAAAUUGGCUGAUUUUUUAAUGUGGUUUGGCGAACCCCGGUGUAAGAGCCAAACUGUCAAAAAACCUGUUACAUUUCUGAGUGCAUUUCACCUUUACCUAUGAAAAAGUCGAUUUAAAAACGUUAAAAAAAAUGUAUCUUACCUGGCCACAGUUUCAUGCAAACGAUGUCCUUUAGCGUCUCAGGUGAACCUGGUGUUUUGAAACUGGGCAGGUGGAAGUGUGCUAUCCUGCACGCUUUUACGCAAAACCAGCUUGAAAAGUCCUUAUUGUUGAAAGAAAUAAUCGAUUAACCGAGUCGGUUUCGGUUGUCCCGUGAGUUCAGUGUUCGUCUUGCGUAAAUAGAUGUUUAAAUGAGUUUAUGUGCAGGCUGGAUCAUGCUCUCAUUUCUCUGCUCGCGGUGAGUUGAAUGAAUGUGAGCGCUAGCGCGACAACCGUUUUUAAAAGAGUGUAGGCGCGGGCUCGUCACACACGUGGACGAGCGCUGGUGUCAGAGCCAAGUCAGAGCAGAGAGGAGGCUGGUUGUUCUGAGGGGGGAAAGGAGGGAUGAUUUACAAUAGAAAAGGGAUUUACAGUACAUGAUAGGGUGGAUAACAAUGAACACUUACUGGCAUGGGUGUUUCAAAAGAAGAUGUAUGGCAUACCUCCUUCAUGUACAUAUUUAAAUGCCCCUUUAUCAUAGUUUUCAAUGGUGGAAAGUAACUGAGUACAUUUACUCAAGUGCAUACACAUUGUAUACUACUUUAUACUUCUACUCUACUACAUUUUGGAAGCCAAUCUUGUUGGUUUUACUCCACUACAUUGAUAUACGUAUUUUACAGUUUCAGCUCCUUAAAUGUGAAGAGGUGUUGCCUUUGCUUUCACAUUUUUUAUUGUAUUUUGGUUUUUGCUGCCAUGAGUACAUUUACUCAGUUAUGGCACCAUUCUCAAAACAGUACUUUACUUGAAAUUGGGUAUUUUUACAGUGUGGUAUCAGUACUUUUACUCAAAUAAAGAAUCUGAAUACUUUUUCUAACACGGUGUGUAUGUCACCUGAAGUAGGGGUUAUAUCAACUCAUUUUACACUGUGUUGUAUCUGCUCUUUAUUGAAAAGAAUAUGACGUUUACACUGAGUGAAAUAUUCAAGAUUCCAUGGCUAUCAUUGUUCCUUAAAAUAUAAAUAUAUUUGUUGCGCAACAUCUAAUACAAAAUUACCCCAAAAUAUUCAGCCUGAAAGAUCUGUGGGAUUGAUAUAUAAUAUUUGACAAUACAUUGGGUCUCCAAUAUGGUAUUAUUUUGUAUACGUACAAAAUAUAAUUGGAUAUUUACCUUGGGGUUAGGGUUAAGGUUCUAAAAUAAGAGUAGAGGGUCAAUAGACAGCUAUUUUUCUAUUAUCAAUUAACCUUUUGGAUAAUUAUUUACUCAAAUAAAGCAUCAGAAAUGUUCCCAAAGCUGUCAUCCACAUUUUGUGUGUGACCCAUGAUAUGAAUAGUAGAGAGGAUGAUUUUGCAUUAACAUAACUAAUCAAAAGGAUUAAAAUGUAGGUUUUUUAUGACAAUAUAAGAGUUGUCAUCAUUUCACAAGCCCAUGACGCUAUGCUCCACCAACUGAAAGUUUCACAUUACCUGCUACAAGUCGAAAACAAGGCUUGAGGAAACAUCUGAAACCCACUACCUUUCAUUACCUCCACAUUGCGUCAGAGCCCCUCUCUAAUGGGGAUCGCUGGCCUCCCUGGUUCAGAUCUGCUUCAAGUGUUUAUUCUGGGGGCAUUUUGAACAGUGGCAGAGGGAAAAGUCUGAACGGUUCCAUGUGUGUAUGCGUCUAAGUGUGUGUGGCUGGGUGUGCCUGAUGUGGAGAAACAGUAGGGCCCCUGUUUCUCCUGGGUUUGGCCCAACAGCAGUUAAGUUCUGAACGUCACACUCGCCUCAGAGCCUAUAGCGGGACACACUGUAACUGUUCUUGGGGCCCCGGUGACAUAAUGGACCAUCUCAGACAUCAGGCUCCCACCCUCCUGACGUGUCUCACAAUAACAGCGAGUCAGCAUCCAAACUGUAGCAUACGCAGGCGUGCAGCUGCAGCUCUUAAGACAGGGGUGUCCAAACUUUUUUCAAUGAGGGCCACAUACAGAAAGAAAAUACGAAGGGCUCACUAGAGGAGAGCUAUAUUGCCUCAUAAGUUAAGUUAUAAGUUAGCAAAAUCAAUCAAAUGUAUGAUGUUUGAUACUUGAAAAUGCUUUAAGAAACACAACAGCCUAAAUCCCAGCUCUCCAGAGGGUUUACUUUAUUUAGUUACAAUCAGAAUCAGAAUACCUUUAUUCGUCCCACAGCUCAGUCCUUAAAACAGAAGCCUCAGAUUGCUUAUAAAAAGAGGAAACAUGAAGGGUAGAUUUCAAGGUUGGUAUGUAAAUAAGUUAUUGGGCUUUUUUUAAUCAACUGAGAUUUGUUUAAACAUUUUCCAACUUUAAUUUACAGAAUUUAUGUGAAAAGUGGGCUUAUUAAGACAUGAAUACGGUGUAAUAUAUUUCUACAUAUAUAUUCAAGAAGUACAAUAUAUGACAAGCACAAGUUAAUUUGUGGGGCAUAUUUCAUUAUACUUUUUGAAUUAGCUAAGGGCCGUUUCAAAAUGGACCGCGGGCCGCUUUUGGCCCCUGGGCCGUAGUUUGGACACCCCUGUCUUAAGAAGUGCAGACUUUACAGGUUUAACUCCCAACUAAAACACAUACUGUUUAUUUAAGAAAACACAAAUGUACUUUGUGUUUAGGCUGUAUUGAAUAAGAAAUAUUGUAUGCAAAAAAGAUACUCUGGAAAUAUUGGUUGGACAUUUCGUAGACGUGGAUGGUUCCCAGAGGAUAAACCCUACUGACUUUAAUUAUUCUCUGUACUUCUCCUGCACCAACAUUUAGAUUGAAGCUAAUUAGCAACUACUUUUUAGAUAGAAACUUUUCCCUUUUUCAGUGAAAUAUCAACAACUUAUAAUACAUGUUUGGCCUAGGUGGCUAGCAUGAUCAGAAAGCACAUUUCCAUGAGCUGUACUAAGUGAUAGGUAGGUUUGAUCAUGCUAAACUCAGUGAGUGAACACUUAACCAAUAUAUACAUGGUUAAAUUAUGCAACAAUAUCAAUAUCUACUGGAUAAACACCACAUUUUGAGUGAGAUAUUUAUAUAUUAUAUUAUAAGAGGUGUCCUAAUGGAAAUUACUUUUAUGGUGGUUAGUACCACCACCAUAAAAUGGACACUUGUUUUAUCAAUAAAAUAUUUAGUAUCAUGGAACCCUUGACAUUUAAACUAGUCUGUCCUGCUUAAAACUUCUGCAUUGUAUCAUAACCAUUUGGAGCAAUGGUUUUUAAUAUAAGUAGCUUUGAUUAUAUUCUUUGAGCAGAACAAUCUGAGUUCUUUGAGAGAAAAAAAACACCAAUUUCAAAUGUCAAUCUCUUCUAAUCAGAGUUCUGUUAAGAUAAUGGGCUCUAUUACAGACACACCCAAUUGUUCAGAAACUAAUUGGCAGCCAUUCAUUCAAAUGCCUUCACAGCACUUGUGACUGAAACCAGCCAAGUCUCAAGAGGUUGUUGCAAGUCAUUGUGGGGAAACAAAGACAAUCUCUGAGUGCAGCAAUGGGCAAGGUGAUGGGAAAUAGUAGGUUCAUGAGAGCAACACCUCAUGACACAACAGCUCAACUGAGAGGGGAUUUAGAGAGAAAUAUCACAGAUUGUACCUUUAAUCAAACAGGAGAGAGUGGCAGACAGGGAGAAAGUGGAGCGUUUGUUGAUGAGAUUAUCUAUAAAAACCCACUAAGGUUUACUGAGUUAUCUGUUUAACUCAUAUUUUCACAGGGUUUUGACCUCUGUUGAGGUUGCCAUAGUGGAACAUGUGAACAGGGAUGUAACACUGCUAUUGUUGGAAGCAGGGCGAACAAAUUAAGGAAGUAAAUUGACACAAUGUACUGUAAGCUCCCUCCCAUCCGUUGUAGAGAUGUUUUAUGCCCAGUUCCCUUUUUCUAAACCUCUGUAAAUCAGAUAUGAUUGGCAUUUAUUGAUGUAAACCUACAGCUAUAGGCUUGUAAACAGUGAAGACUUGUUCUAGUUCUACUGGAGCUAAGAACCACAACACAAUCGGUUCCUGGCACCAUUACAACCAGUGCUAUGAGUGCUGUUGAGAUCUCCAUAUCAAGUGAAUACUUAAAACGAAAGUUAAUUAUAAAUCAAAUAUGAUCAAUCAUAUUCUUGUAUAAACCCAUAAUGAUAAUGCUUCUGGUUAUGUCAUAGCCAUAGAAUAUGGCCCCUGGUAUACUCUCUCCCGGUAAAAGCUCUGUCCCUCAGAGCUGGGUUUUUGCUCUCUGUAAGGUUCUCUCGAACUUGGUAACUAUUGCUUAAAUCUCUGUGUAUUGAAUGCUGAGGGAAUGGUUUAGAUGAAAGUUUUGAACGAGAUUCUUAAACCAAUCAUUCUUAAAUGUGUUGGAAUUCUUAAACCAAUCAUUCUUAAAUGAGUUAGAAUUCUUAAACCAAUCAUUCUUAAAUGUGUUGGAAUUCUUAAACCAAUCAUUCUUAAAUGAGUUAGAAUUCUUAAACCAAUCAUUCUUAAAUGUGUUGGAAUCCUUAAACCAAUCAUUCUUAAAUGAGUUAGAAUUCUUAAACCAAUCAUUCUUAAAUGUGUUGGAAUCCUUAAACCAAUCAUUCUUAAAUGUGUUGGAAUCCUUAAACCAAUCAUUCUUAAAUGUGUUGGAAUCCUUAAACCAAUCAUUCUUAAAUGUGUUGGAAUUCUUAAACCAAUCAUUCUUAAAUGUGUUGGAAUUCUUAAACCAAUCAUUCUUAAAUGAGUUGGAAUUCUUAAACCUACCAUUCUUAAAUGUGUCAGGAUUUUAGAACUAAUUAGAGAACCUUCGUCACCACGAGGAAAUUCUUUUGGAUUUUGUCGGAAGACUUUAAUGGGUGAACUAUGAAUUAAGGUUUUAGAUUAGAAAAUAACCCCAGCAUGAUAUGUUUAGUAUGAUUAUAAUGUUGUAAAGAGAGAGAAGGUAAAAACCCUGUAUACGUUUGGACCUAUUUUUCUUCAAAUAAACUGAUCCCACCUUUUGGAUUGGGACAA